rnacentral:rRNA from 1 species
GUAGCAGUGAAAUGCGUAGAUAUCGAGAGGAACACCAGUUGCGAAGGCGGAUCUCUGGACGGUUUCUGACGCUGAGGCACGAAAGCUGGGGUAGCGAAGAGGAUUAGAUACCCUCGUAGUCCCAGCCGUAAACGGUGCACACUUGCUGUGGGCGGAUUCGACCCCGUCCGUGGCGAAGCUAACGCGAUAAGUGUGCCGCCUGGGGAGUACGGUCGCAAGAUUAAAACUCAAAGAAAUUGACGGGGGCCUGCACAAGCGGUGGAGCAUGUGGUUUAAUUCGAUGCAACGCGAAGAACCUUACCUGGCCUUGACAUGUAGUGGCCCGGGUGCGAAAUCACCCUUUUCUUCGGAACUGCUACACAGGUGCUGCAUGGCUGUCGUCAGCUCGUGUCGUGAGAUGUUGGGUUAAGUCCCGCAACGAGCGCAACCCCCGUGUUCUGUUGCCACCCGGAGUUAAAUCCGGAGCACUCUGGACAGACUGCCUGGUUUCAACUAGGAGGAAGGUGGGGAUGACGUCAAGUCAGUAUGGCCCUUACGGCCAGGGCUGCACACGUACUACAAUGCCUGAUAUAAUGGGAAGCAAGACCGCGAGGUGGAGCAAAUCCUCAAAAUCAGGCCCAGUUCAGAUUGUAGGCUGCAACUCGCCUACAUGAAGGAGGAAUCGCUAGUAAUGCCGUAUAAGCUACGACGGCGUGAAUACGUUCCCAGGCCUUGUACACACCGCCCGUCACAUCAUGAAAGUCGAUUGUACCCGAAGUCACUGAGUUAACUUGCAAAAGAGACAGGUGCCGAAGGUAUGGUUGGUAAUUGGGAUGAAGUCGUAACAAGGUAGCCGUAGGGGAACCUGCGGCUG